AAGCGUACACGGUGGAUGCCCUGGCAGUCAGAGGCGAUGAAGGGCGUGCUAAUCUGCGAUAAGCGCCGGUAAGGUGAUAUGAACCGUUAUAACCGGCGAUACCCGAAUGGGGAAACCCAGUGUGAUUCGUCACACUAUCAUUAACUGAAUCCAUAGGUUAAUGAGGCGAACCGGGGGAACUGAAACAUCUAAGUACCCCGAGGAAAAGAAAUCAACCGAGAUUCCCCCAGUAGCGGCGAGCGAACGGGGAGGAGCCCAGAGCCUGAAUCAGCAUGUGUGUUAGUGGAAGCGUCUGGAAAGGCGCGCGAUACAGGGUGACAGCCCCGUACACAAAAGCGCAUGUGCUGUGAGCUCGAUGAGUAGGGCGGGACACGUGGUAUCCUGUCUGAAUAUGGGGGGACCAUCCUCCAAGGCUAAAUACUCCUGACUGACCGAUAGUGAACCAGUACCGUGAGGGAAAGGCGAAAAGAACCCCGGCGAGGGGAGUGAAAAAGAACCUGAAACCGUGUACGUACAAGCAGUGGGAGCACCCUUUGGGUGUGACUGCGUACCUUUUGUAUAAUGGGUCAGCGACUUAUAUUCUGUAGCAAGGUUAACCGAAUAGGGGAGCCGGAGGGAAACCGAGUCUUAACCGGGCGUUAAGUUGCAGGGUAUAGACCCGAAACCCGGUGAUCUAGCCAUGGGCAGGUUGAAGGUUGGGUAACACUAACUGGAGGACCGAACCGACUAAUGUUGAAAAAUUAGCGGAUGACCUGUGGCUGGGGGUGAAAGGCCAAUCAAACCGGGAGAUAGCUGGUUCUCCCCGAAAGCUAUUUAGGUAGCGCCUCGUGAAUUCAUCUCCGGGGGUAGAGCACUGUUUCGGCUAGGGGGCCAUCCCGGCUUACCAACCCGAUGCAAACUGCGAAUACCGGAGAAUGUUAUCACGGGAGACACACGGCGGGUGCUAACGUCCGUCGUGAAGAGGGAAACAACCCAGACCGCCAGCUAAGGUCCCAAAGUCAUGGUUAAGUGGGAAACGAUGUGGGAAGGCCCAGACAGCCAGGAUGUUGGCUUAGAAGCAGCCAUCAUUUAAAGAAAGCGUAAUAGCUCACUGGUCGAGUCGGCCUGCGCGGAAGAUGUAACGGGGCUAAACCAUGCACCGAAGCUGCGGCAGCGACACUGUGUGUUGUUGGGUAGGGGAGCGUUCUGUAAGCCUGUGAAGGUGUGUCGUGAGGCAUGCUGGAGGUAUCAGAAGUGCGAAUGCUGACAUAAGUAACGAUAAAGCGGGUGAAAAGCCCGCUCGCCGGAAGACCAAGGGUUCCUGUCCAACGUUAAUCGGGGCAGGGUGAGUCGACCCCUAAGGCGAGGCCGAAAGGCGUAGUCGAUGGGAAACGGGUUAAUAUUCCCGUACUUGGUGUUACUGCGAAGGGGGGACGGAGAAGGCUAUGUUGGCCGGGCGACGGUUGUCCCGGUUUAAGUGUGUAGGUGUGUGUUCCAGGUAAAUCCGGUUCACUUUAACACUGAGGCGUGA
rnacentral:rRNA from 1 species